rfam:Bacillus endophyticus strain Hbe603, complete genome.
UAAAAUUAAACAUUAUUGCCAAAGACAGUAGGUGCUUACUAAAGCUUAAUUUCCUACCGAGGUGUAUGAUAUAAAGCAGCGUUGCACGUCUGUACGCUCGUUUUAGAAAACCCUCUAUGUCUUAUUUACCACAUAGAGGGUCUUCUUAUGUUGCA